rnacentral:rRNA from 1 species
GCUAGCAGCCACAUCACCCUGUAACUCACAACCGGCAACCCACUGAAGCUAAGAAGGGCUGAGCCUAGUCAGUACCUGGUUUGGAGACCUCCAGGGAAAACCUGUGGUUGCUGCUGGAG